CCUACGGGGUGCAGCAGUCGAGAAUCAUUCACAAUGGGGGAAACCCUGAUGGUGCGACGCCGCGUGGGGGAAUGAAGGUCUUCGGAUUGUAAACCCCUGUCAUGUGGGAGCAAAUUAAAAAGAUAGUACCACAAGAGGAAGAGACGGCUAACUCUGUGCCAGCAGCCGCGGUAAUACAGAGGUCUCAAGCGUUGUUCGGAAUCACUGGGCGUAAAGCGUGCGUAGGCUGUUUCGUAAGUCGUGUGUGAAAGGCGCGGACUCAACCCGCGGACGGCACAUGAUACUGCGAGACUAGAGUAAUGGAGGGGGAACCGGAAUUCUCGGUGUAGCAGUGAAAUGCGUAGAUAUCGAGAGGAACACUCGUGGCGAAGGCGGGUUCCUGGACAUUAACUGACGCUGAGGCACGAAGGCCAGGGGAGCGAAAGGGAUUAGAUACCCGUGUAGUC
rnacentral:rRNA from 1 species